rnacentral:rRNA from 1 species
GACGAACCGUCCUAACGUUGUUCGGAAUCACUGGGCUUAAAGGGCGCGUAGGCGGGCAUUCAAGUCGGAGGUGAAAUCCUCCAGCUUAACUGGAGAAGAGCUGUCGAUACUGGAUGUCUCGAGGGGUGCAGGGGUCUGCGGAACUUCGGGUGGAGCGGUGAAAUGCGUAGAGAUCCGAAGGAACGCCGGUGGCGAAAGCGGCGGACUGGACACCUUCUGACGCUGAGGCGCGAAAGCCAGGGGAGCAAACGGG